UACGUAGGUGGCAAGCGUUGUCCGGAUUUACUGGGCGUAAAGCGCACGUAGGCGGAUCGAUCAGUCAGGGGUGAAAUCCCAGAGCUCAACUCUGGAACUGCCUUUGAUACUGUCGAUCUGGAGUAUGGAAGAGGUGAGUGGAAUUCCGAGUGUAGAGGUGAAAUUCGUAGAUAUUCGGAGGAACACCAGUGGCGAAGGCGGCUCACUGGUCCAUUACUGACGCUGAGGUGCGAAAGCGUGGGGAGCAAACAGG
rnacentral:rRNA from 1 species